UACAGAGGGUGCGAGCGUUGUCCGGAAUCACUGGGCGUAAAGGGCGCGUAGGUGGUGGCUUAAGCGUGCGGUGAAAGCUCGGGGCUCAACUCCGAGUCGGCCGUGCGAACUGGGCUCACUGGAGCAUAGUAGAGGCAGGUGGAAUUCCGGGUGUAGCGGUGGAAUGCGUAGAGAUCCGGAAGAACACCGGUGGCGAAGGCGGGUCUCUGGGCCGAUACUGACGCUGAGGAGCGAAAGCGUGGGGAGCAAACAGG
rnacentral:rRNA from 1 species